AUGCUGUGGAGGAGGCGGGGCUGAGCUGGAAGAGAGGUCACAUGUCACUCAGACAUCCUCUACAGCUUUACUGGUAUGUUUUUGUGCCAUUGUUAUUAGAUGCCUAUAUGUCUAGAAAUAUCAUUAGAAAGGCCCACUGCACAAUGGCAAGAAACUCAGACACUGUAUAUGGAGAUACUCUCCCCUAGAGGAGCAGAACGCUAACAGUGAACAGUUACAAGAAGAGCGCAGCAGCUUAUUGACAAGGUCUAAUUGAGAAGAAUAACAUCACAAUUGUUGUCUGGGUUCUAGAAAUUCGACCUUAUACCAUGAUUUCCGAGGAUCCUCCAAGGAAGGAAAAAGGAAGGUCUACGCACGCAUACAUCGUGGGUGAACCGGACAGAACCGGGGACACCGUUGAAAAUAAGAAAGUGUUUUAUUGAUAGAUGACCCGUUUUGGGAGCUCGUGUAGGAUCCUGAAGAUUUCUGGUUUCUGUGGUUCAUUGGCAACUAUGGACCUGGGUCGGUGGCAACCCCGGCAAACUGUCACAAAGUACAGGGAGGUGUUGAGCUCUAAGCCUAACACCGCAAGAUAAAUAAUGACCUGAGGAUUUCAUGAAGCCAAGUCCAGACACAGCCCUCUACAAGUGUUCAAGGGUAAAGACGAAAAGGACUCUUAGAUGCUGCUCCUCAGGUUAGACCUACACCACAUCCCAAGCAACUCAGUGGAUACACUUCUGUUGUCGAGUAUAUUUGUGUCAUUAGGUCUGUAUUUUAUUUGCAUUUCAAUGAAAUUAUACGUGAUAGAAAGAUAAAAAGUAAUAAAAAUGAUCCUAUGAAUUGUGAUGAGACUAUUCAUUAUAAGUUAUAACAUUGACAUAAACAUAUU